UAUGGAGUAGUGACCAGCUGAAAGAUUGCUGUAAAAUAUAAUCCAGGAAUGAGAUUUUAUGACUUCUUCCAGAAAGAGGUUCUCCUGUGCUGAACUACCUCUGGCUGGGUGAAGAAACUGAGGCAAAAAGAGGUCAUGUGACUUUCCCAAUCUCACACAGGGUCAGAACCAGAGCUUGGACUGGAAACCAGACCCCCUCACGGACUGUUCAGAGUUCUUUCUAUGCACUGAGCUGCCGCCUUGCAAAGAAAUAUCCGCAGUGUCUUGUAUGUAUAAAGUAAAUAAUUCAUGAUUAUUAGAUUGGCUAAUAAUCCCUGAAAUAUGGGAAAAUGAAUGACCAUGAUCAUUAUUUUAUUGAACCAACAAGACUCUUGAUGGUC
rnacentral:lncRNA from 1 species